rnacentral:lncRNA from 1 species
UUGUUAACACAAACUUUGAUAUAAUAAAACUCAGAGAUAUCUCUUACGUGAUUGAUAUCAUAACAUACUGAGAUAGACCCAAUGGGAUAUUAGUUUCAUUCCAUAAGUUUAACAUUAAAUGGGUCCUUACAUAUGUAACAAUCAAUAUUGCUCUCCUUUAGAGGACAAUAGGAUAAAUGAGAUUAUUUAUUUAUGCUUCAUUAAUUAGAAGCCUUAUGUAAGUUUAAGUCUAUACUCGUUUAGAUAUUACUCAUAUUGCAACACACUAGAUAUGUCUAGAUUAAUGUGUAGCAUCUAAUGGAGUAUUACAAUAUCUUUAAAAGAAACGAGAGACUACAAUUUAAAGAAGAAGUGAGAAUUAAAACCGGUUUAUUACUCUAACUUUGAGAUAUUCGAAGAUUAUAAAAUGCAGUUUCGGGUAUAUCUUUAUGUCAGCAGACAAAACCUAUUUCAUGGAGGAGUCAUAAUGCACUGAUAUUAAACAACCUGAGUUAUAACGACAUAACAUGGUCACUAAAUGUUGUUGGAAAUUUAAUCAGUGGACUCAUAAGUUUAUUAACUCCAUAUAAUGUUUUGAAGAAUUAGUGUGAUAAAGUCAGCUACCAUAACUCCUUGAACAGUAACAGUUCAAGAGGUGCUGCAUUAAGUUUCGAUACGCAAUUAAUUAUUCGUUUAUGAACGAAUUGAGGAAACUAAGUUUUGUAUCGAAUACAUUCAUGAUAUGCUUAAGGAUCCUAUAACUGAAGGGCUAUUACCCAUAAGUCUUAUUAAGAGAGCUCAUAGACGGGUAUUAAUUAAUAGUCAUGCGCAAUUGCAUAUCGUACUAUGAAUGACUAAGUAUUAGUUAAUUUUCCUCAAGUUUGAUUUUGUAUGUCUCCAAUAAUAUCCAUGUAUGGGUUAAUGCAAACAUCAUAAUGUGAUGAAAAGCUAACGUAAUUAUUUUCAUCAAGAAUCAAGUGGAUUAAUGUACCUACCUCAAGAUGAGUGGGAGCAACUAAAAUAAACUUGUCUAUAUAGAUGACAUUCUUUGACAAGCAUAUGUUACAUAAGUCAAAGCAUUGUUAACACAAACUUUGAUAUAAUAAAACUCAGAGAUAUCUCUUACGUGAUUGAUAUCAUAACAUACUGAGAUAGACCCAAUGGGAUAUUAGUUUCGUUCCAUAAGAUCCUAUAACUGAAGGGCUAUUACCCAUAAGUCUUACUAAGAGAGCUCAUAGACGGGUAUUAAUUAAUGGCCAUGCGUAACCGCAUAUCGUACUAUGAAUGACUAAGUAUUAG